rnacentral:rRNA from 1 species
AACGAACGCUGGCGGCAGGCUUAACACAUGCAAGUCGAACGGGCGUAGCAAUACGUCAGUGGCAGACGGGUGAGUAACACGUGGGAACCUUCCUCGUAGUACGGGACAACUCAGGGAAACUUGAGCUAAUACCGUAUACGUCCGAGAGGAGAAAGAUUUAUCGCUAUGAGACGGGCCCGCGUCCGAUUAGGUAGUUGGUGGGGUAACGGCCUACCAAGCCGACGAUCGGUAGCUGAUCUGAGAGGAUGAUCAGCCACACUGGGACUGAGACACGGCCCAGACUCCUACGGGAGGCAGCAGUGGGGAAUCUUGGACAAUGGGCGCAAGCCUGAUCCAGCCAUGCCGCGUGAGUGAAGAAGGCCUUAGGGUUGUAAAGCUCUUUUGCCAGGGACGAUAAUGACGGUACCUGGAGAAUAAGCCCCGGCAAACUUCGUGCCAGCCGCCGCCGUAAAAC